AAAAAAAAUACAAAUCCCGUCGUUUAAUAAAUUAAUUGGCGGUAGCUUUUCCCCCAACCCCCACUACCUCCUCUAAAAAAGAAACAUUACCCUUCUUUCAAAAAACACUUCUUCCCUAGAAACUACCGUCUGCUCUCAUCCAGAACUUGCAAUUGCUAUCAAGAGUAAAUUUUUGGUAGAAGAAAUAACUGAUCGUCACCCUCGUCGGCAUCAAUUUCUCAUCUUAGAGUUCCUUCUCAUCAAGGUAAGGUUAAAAAAUGAUCUUUUUACAUGUUAAUUUUGGUCAAAUUAGUAGGGUUGUGAUUGCACUUGUAACUAAAUGGAUGUUGGAUUUGCUUUGUUGAAGAAGAAUCAGAAUAAUACCCUACUCAUUCUCCAUCACAGCCAAAAAAAUACAGCGAAAAUAUUUGCUUCUCAAAUCUUAAAGUACGAGCAACCAAAGAAACUGAAAGAGUUUUAACUGCUUCAAAAACAAAGCUUGUGUGCAAAUUUUAAUGUGACACUAAUUAAUAAGCUUAAUUAGGAUAAGAAUUAUAAAAUCAAACAAUGAGUAUUGUAAUUUGUAAGUGAUACGAAUCUUACUAGAGUUUCUAUUAAUUUGCCUUUGGUAUUUAUCCUUGAAAAUGUCAUCCCUUCUUUUAUUUUCUUUUAUCAUUGUUAAAUUACACUUUCAGAAUUUUAUAAAUAUCAAAUUUGGGAUAUCUUUGUUUUCCUAAUACGCAAAUUAGCUAUUAAUAACUUGGUUUACAAAAUUCAUUUAUUUUCCAAUUAGUUUCUAAAAAGUUAGGCGAAGAAAUCUCUUUGCCUGAAAGUUGUAUAGUGGUGCUGAAGGUGGAAGUUUCAUAGUAAUUUGCAUAGUGUUGGGUGCUACCAUAUAAAAUAUAUCUAUUGAGUUUUAAGUAUUUGCUUGGAGGGUUCGAGUUUUUAUACAACAACAACAACAUACCCAGUGAAAUCUACAAGUGGAGUCUGGGAAGAGUAGAGUGUACGCAAACAAGUUUCUACCUUCAAAGGUAGGGAGGUUGUUUCCUAUAGAUCCUCAACUCAGAAAAAAAAAACAGUGUGUUUGAGUUUUUGUAUCACCAAAUUAUUGUGUUUCCAACAAUUUGUUGGAACAAAUUGUUUGAUGGUUUCUUAUGCUUUGUUUAAUUUGUUUUGUACAAUUUGUUUUGGAGAUCUUUUGUUUAGUAGUCAAGACUUAUGAAAAACUUACAUGCUAUAGGUUCUUUUUCCUCCUGUCUUUUUGUCUAUGCGGACAAGUUAAAGUUAAAUAGAAUUAGCAUUUUUCAAUGUCAUAAUUGGGCUAAAUAUAAAAUGUGUAUUUGCUUUUUACUCCAUCAGCUAUUUACAGUACCUACAAGGAAGAAAUCAAUGAAAUUGGUAGUAACAUAGGAAAGGGGAACACUUUUAGAUGUUUGAACUUCUAAACUUUCUAUCUAUCUUGCUUUGUCUACCUUUGAAGUGAAUGGCUCAAUUCUUUCAGUGUGCCCCUACAACGAUGGAUUAUAUUGUUCCUUGAUUUUUAUCUCAAACUUGGGAAUUUCUUAAAUCAAGGAAAGAUCUUUUCUUUGUUCAGAUUCAUUAUUUCGUAUCAAAAGAAAAACGAAAGAUCUUUACUUUGUAUAUAAUCCCCUGAGAUAACUGUCUGGAGCCUAAAUUUUAGAUCUAAAUUCUGCACCCUCUGAUUUUUUGAACGAAUUAUAUGGUUUACCUGGAAAGGUCGGGAUCCGUUCAUAAUGUGGUAUCAUCACCUUCUGCAUAUCUCUUAUUAUAUUCUCUUUGCUAGAUUUUACAUUGCUGCAUCUUUCUAAAAUCUGUCCCUUAUAUUUGUCAAUUUGUUAAGGCCACGCUAACUAGUUUCAUCAUACUAUUCCAUCUAUUUGAUCUCUAGCGUGAUUCACAAGAAUCUGAGGAGAUUGUAGCUCGAUGGCAUCAAAUUUCAACUGCAAAAGUUCGAUAAAUUGUUCUGUGACUAGCGAAUUAGUAAGCAUAAUUAGAUUAGGUAACCAUUGAAUUAAAAAAAGGUUUGAUAUGAAUACCUUGAUAUUAUCCAUUGCUAGAUUUUUUAUUUGAGAUGCUCCUCACGGUCGUCCUAAUGUUGAUAAAUAUAAAACUUCAUUUCUGCAAUUUCUACUCAAUACUAGUGAAUUUGUCGUUGAUUUGAGGUGCAGCUUUAGGUCAGCCUAAAUGGCCUUAUGGCAGUAUAUAGUAGACCUUUUUCUGCAAGGACUUGAUAAAUAUAGCAGAAAUGUAGGAAACAUCAAAAGUUGGUCAAUUAUUCAUUUCUUUCUUGAGUGUAGAACUAUGCGCAACAAAAUGUAAGAACGACUAAUGCCUUUAAAUAUUGUUUUCUUAGAGUUACUCUGAUGAGCUGUUUGUUAUGACAUACAUUUCACUGUUUCAGAUAAUAUUUUGCUUGAAUUGACCUGUAUACUUUUUUAAUGUUAUCUCUGACUUAUUUAACUAUCAAAGGUCUUUCUAGUUUUUUGGGUUGACGGCUUUGCAAUCAUCAACACUUGUUGGUGAUAGAUGUUCUUUCAUUGUAAAGAGGUUUCAGAAUUAUAGAUGUUACUAUUUCUUAAUUUUCAUAAGUCUUGAGGAGUGUUGAGUUGCAGUAGCUAAUUCAAAAUGUUUUUUCUGUUGUCAUGUCAUCCUACAUCAAAGCCAGAACAUCAUUAAACUACUCUUGAUUGUUGAUUGUCUUUCUCCUUUCAGUAAGCCUUUUGAACAUUUUUUUGAAUCAAUAAGAUAUUUCUUUUGUGAGGAAGUAGUAUUUUAUGAAGAUGGUGAGCCUGAGAUAGAUGGUGACCUGGAGACCUGAAGGUUUGACUUUUAUCCCAUGCUACACAAAAUGGACUUCAUUAUUAUGUAUGAUUUUCCUGUGACUUGUAUUCUGUCUUUAUUAUAUCUUUGUAUAGUUCUGCAUUCGCACAGCUCCUCAUGUCCGGAUACAGAGAGAAAGAAAUGACCUAUACACAACUGUUACUAUUAUUCUGAUCAUGAAUAUGAAGCCUGAAUAGCCUAUCCUCGAAGAAAGUGCAAAGCAAGUUAAAGUACAAGAAGUUGAUUAAGUUUUGUUAGGGGUGGUUUAAAGAUGUCUUAUGUACAUAUACUGGAAUUCUAUCCUCUCUUUCUAGGAGUUGAUAAAAAUAGUGUCAUACAAUUUGGAUGGAUACAAUUUUGGCAAUGUAAUGCUUUAGUUAUUUGUAUUGGCUGUGAAAUUUGAUAUAGUUAUUUUAUUAUUUGGUAUA